rnacentral:lncRNA from 1 species
AUAUUGCUUUAUUUCUUGGUGGUAGUAAAUUAAGGCUUUCUAGAGUCAUACAGCACGCAGUGAUUCGAACAUUAGAAUUUAAAAAAAAAAAUGAGCAUUCAAUUUAGCAGAGGCAGGAAGGAAACAAUGUUUAAAAACAGAUAAACUUCCUAUUGAGGCUUUUUGCUUGGUCUCUCAAAAUCUGCUGAGCUGUUUCCCCAGGAAGAACUUCUGUCAUACACUCAUAUGACAAGGGGGAGCAGACUGGAUGAAGAGAAGACUGGGAAAAAAGAAGAAACUGGGAAAGACAGUAUAUGCUGGGCCAUGGUGUGCAAGUCAGCUUCGUCUCAUGUUUGGAAGACAGUUUAGGUGCUGUGCUCAGGUGGUGGUAAAGAAGGUGUUUGGAACUGGAUGCCUCUUUGGUUCCGGGAGCCAUGUGAGAUCUUUCCUCUCAUUCUGAGAGUACUGAACUGGCUCCCUUGGCCAACCCCAGUAUCAAGGGUCAAGGACAGUCCUUUUUGACUCUCAAAUUCUAAGACUUUAGUCAGGGUCAUAAGUCACAGAGCAGGAAAAUGCUAUACCUUCAACUCUUUUUAAGGUUCUAAACCUUGUGACUCUCACUAGAUACGAUCCCCAGCCAAACAAGUCCUUUCUCCCCAUGACAAACAGCCUUGAUGGCACCUCUAAUUUGUGGAUGGUGUUGCUUGGGGAGGAGGCCAUAUUUCAUACCAUGCCAUCUCACUCUAUCUCCUCCUUCCCAACUUUAAGACAAAGGCACACAGGGAGCCCACAGUGGGGGUGCAGCUGUCAAGUGGUGGGCAGGCUUGACUGCCAUCCCAUCCCACGUACUGUGCUUGGAGGUGCAAAAGUUCUGGGUUUCGAUGGUGGAUCCUCUGAGAAAGAAGUGGGUGAACUGUUUGAACUGCUGGAGGAGGCAGAGAAUAAUUUAAGAGAGGUCAUGGGGUGUAUUAACAACAGGCAAUUCAAUUUCAAGAAAACGAGCGAUGGAAUUUAUCCUGGCAUCCUGACUUCACAUGCAUGAGGCUAACACAUGGAUUUCUUUCCAAAUAGGACCACUUAAAAUGCACACUUGGCAAUGACUUCAAUGUUCUAUUCCCAGCACCUGGUUGGUGGACCAGCGCCUGAGUCUUGUCCAUGUGUUCCCUCUUCCAUUCGUGUGGCAUUUUUAAGGGGACAGCCUUUCAAUAACCUGGAAGUCUGCUCUGUAUCUUUUUGAUAGAGGACCCGCAGAUUGUUGUAGGGGAAGGUACACAAGGUGGCAAUUGGCACAAUUAAACAUUUAGGACUUAACCUUAACAGGCUUCAUGUGAUGAAAUCUAAAUGCACAGUAAAUAGAUAAGACAAGUAGAAAUGUGACCUGAAUCACAAAGAACAGAGGCAUCUGUUCCUGCCAGCUGCAGGGCAGAUGUGAACAUGUAUACCACAUGUGCACUGAGAGGAUUAGAAAAGCCCUGGAGGAUGUGUGCUUUCUCGGGCCUCUCUUGUUAAUUAAAAAUGGUGAGGGUCUUCCCUCCUAUUUGAAAGCACUCAGAUCAACUUGACUGGGGGGAUGUGGGUUUUGCUGGGAUGAGGAAUUCCAUUGCCUCCAUAAGAUGGUGUGGAGUGGGGGUGAUGCCCAGAACAUUUGGGUACAAAAACCAUCUAUGGAGUGAGGCAGAAGAAGAUGGCCAAGAGACUGGAGCACCAAAACAAACAGGAUGGGAAUGAUGCUCAGAGAGGAGCGAAAGACACACAGGAUGCUGGUGUUGGCACUUCUAUUGAAAGCAUCCACAGAAACAAUCCCCUUGAAAGAGGUAGGUGCCUCCUGUGCUCUGUGCUAAGGAGCUUCUGUUUAUUGACAUCUCUGUUCCCUCAGUUCUAAAAUAAGCAUGAAGCUAACCCUUUGUUAGAUCAGAGGAUGGCCUCUGAGUCAGUGCUGGAGGCAGCCACCCAAAGAGGUUGAGUGCUUUGCCCAAGCACACCACAGCUGACAAGUGGUAGAGCUGGAGGGGAAGGAUGCAGGCCUCUAACUCCAUCAUGCUGCUUGCCACAAGUGAUUCUUUAAAAAGAUUUAGAAGACAUACCAGGUGUUGUGACAUUUAUUUAACAAGAAUUUGGUCAGGUGUGGGAUGGAAGAGUGUGGUUUAGGCCAAUCAAGCAGUUUAAAGAGAAGGAGAUCUGGAGAGAAUUAUUAUUCUGAUGAGGUGCUGUUGCCCUUGGAGAGGGAGGGGUUGGUGGGUGGUUGGGAUCAGGGUAUAGGUCCCUGGGGAUGUGGCCAGGAGGAAAGAGACAGAGAGAAAGAAAGGCGGUUUUAAAGACACUGCAGUCAGCUUUCCCAGGUAGAUCUUUUUGAGAAGAGAAACUGCCCAUGAAUGACUUAAGCAAAGGAAAAAAAAAAGCUCCUAGUAGAAAUUUGUCCCCCCACCCUCCUUUCCUGGACCUCUGUUGCCUGUGAGAAAUUAGGUAUAAGAAAAGCCAGAUUCCUAAGAACCUUCCUGGAAGAAAGAGCUGUUAUGAGUGGGUGUCGGUGCUUACACAUAUGCUGCUUAAAAAAAAAAAAAAAAAAAA